rnacentral:rRNA from 1 species
UGGGCGCAAGCCUGAUCCAGCCAUGCCGCGUGCAGGAUGACGGUCCUAUGGAUUGUAAACUGCUUUUGUACGGGAAGAAACACUCCUACGUGUAGGAGCUUGACGGUACCGUAAGAAUAAGGAUCGGCUAACUCCGUG